GACGAACGCUGGCGGCGCGCCUAACACAUGCAAGUCGAACGAGCAAAGAGGAGCUUGCUUCUCUGAGCGAGUGGCGAACGGGUGAGUAACGCGUGAGGAACCUGCCUCAAAGAGGGGGACAACAGUUGGAAACGACUGCUAAUACCGCAUAAGCGCACGGUACCGCAUGGUACAGUGUGAAAAACUCCGGUGGUAUGGGAUGGAUCCGCGUCUGAUUAGCCAGUUGGCGGGGUAACGGCCCACCAAAGCGACGAUCAGUAGCCGACCUGAGAGGGUGACCGGCCACAUUGGGACUGAGACACGGCCCAAACUCCUACGGGAGGCAGCAGUGGGGAAUAUUGCACAAUGGGGGAAACCCUGAUGCAGCGACGCCGCGUGAGCGAAGAAGUAUUUCGGUAUGUAAAGCUCUAUCAGCAGGGAAGAAGAAAUGACGGUACCUGACUAAGAAGCCCCGGCUAACUACGUGCCAGCAGCCGCGGU
rnacentral:rRNA from 1 species